GCAGGAUAACUGCAAACCCAGAUGCAGAGACAAAACGUGUUCGGAGAGUGACACCUAGCAGAGCUCUCUGUGUGCUUUAAUGAGAUGUCACCCUUGCAGAGCAAGAUAUUGCCUGAUGUACUCCAGGAUGGGUUCAGUGAUACCAAACUUGUUUUACAUCACGGGACCUGGUUCAGCUUCUCCCAGAUGAAAAUCAUUCAACAACCCAUUAUUAAAGGACUGUGCAAUGGGAAUGUGCUGAGCAGCGUGGAUCUAGCUGGGAAAGUCAUCUGAGCAGAGGAUGCUGCUUGCAGGCCCCAGGAAAGGCUGCAGGUUUGCAACCCCCCCACUGGUUUGCAGUCAUCUUGGAUUCUGUUUAUUGUGAAGGCUCAGCCACAUCCUCCCUAUCCCGAAGUCCUGAACAUCUGCCUUAAUUUGUCUGGCCUUGUAGCCUUUGAGGAUUCACUGCUUGGUUUUGCAAUGAGUCUCUCACUGAGGACAGGGAAGGGAAUUUGAUGGCGUCAGAAAAUACGACUCUCCCUGCGCUUCUCAAGACAUGUUGGAUCCCUGGUGAUGUCAGAGCUCCAGACUAAGCAAGGAACCACUGGAGAGCCACUUAGCCCUUGUAACGCAGAUGAGCUGAGAUGAUUUGGAAAGAUUCAGCUCUUUGGAUCCUUCGCUAUCCUGACAAAUCCAAAGGGAAAUACAUGCACUGCCAAAGUUGUUUCUAUGGGUCAUUCCUGAAUUCCUACAGAAAACAGUAUUUCUCAGAACAACAUAGAAGAGCUGUUAAGCGGUGCUGGUGGUCUGGUGACAUCCCUACAGUACUGUCUUUCAGCCAAAGUAAUAUGGAUUUCCUAGAAGCACGUGCCCCCAGAGGAAGAAAUCAUGGACUUUUAAGGUAUCCCAGACAACAGUGCAGAUGCUGAUUUCAGCUUCGCCGUUUUAAACCCGCUGUAUUCAGUGGAUUGACUUUGAAAGUGGGUUUUUUUUACUGAUGGGAGAUCUAUGAGGGGAGGAAUGGAUCCCUGCAUCCCCAGAGUACCUGGAUAACCUCCAGCUUGCCCUCUUGGAGGUUUUGUUUCCAGAUCUAUCACAGGCAAGUCACCAGGACAUGGAUUCAUCCCAUCUAACCGUUCACAGCUAAAGCAAGUAACUUUAAACAAGAGUUAAGAUAAACAGUGGAGAGAGAGAUUUCACCUACCUACGGGCUGCUGGGCUUCUAUCACUCUGCUUUUACUGAAGAUUUUUUGGGCCUAUGUUCCUAAUUUAGUUGCCUUCUUUAUGCUUAUCAGUGAAACUGAAUCUGGGCGUUUAUCUUCCUGAGCAUCAAUUCCAAUUCUGUGAAACUUAAAUACAAGAUUAAAGACAUUU